rnacentral:rRNA from 1 species
AACCCGACUCCGUGAAGCUGGAUUCGCUAGUAAUCGCGCAUCAGCCAUGGCGCGGUGAAUACGUUCCCGGGCCUUGUACACACCGCCCGUCAAGCCAUGGGAGCCGGGGGUGCUUGAGGUGCGUCGCCGCAAGGCGCGCCCUAGAGCAAAACCGGUGACUGGGGCUAAGUCGUAACAAGGUACC